rnacentral:lncRNA from 1 species
UUCAUCGUACAAAAUGUGACCCAUGGGAGCACAGCCCAUGGGCAACCCAGGAUGACCUGAAUUCGCCUUCUCGACCGCAUCAAUAGACAAGAAUCUGAUGGUGUUGACGGAUUUCUCGACCAAGGAAGUCUCGGCGGCGGUGCCAAUUGUUUCGACGGCAGCAGCACGGACCUGGCGCUUGUGGUUGGAGCGGGAGGGAAGGCGUCGACGGGAAGAGGAAGCGCGAGGGAUAGAAGAUUUGAGGCCAGAGAAACCGGGAAAAGAGAGAGUGGAGAGGGAGGGGCGGUGGUCGGAGGAUUGGGCGGAGGCAUGGGAAGAGAUAGCGCGAGAGAGGAGGGCUUGAGAUAGGGUGACAGAUGAAGUAGAGGCCAUUGUUGAUUGAGAGGGUGAGGAUAGUGAAGGGACCCCUCUUUGUU